rnacentral:rRNA from 1 species
UACAGGGGGUGCAAACGUUGCUCGGAAUCAUUGGGCGUAAAGCGCACGUAGGCGGUCUGUUAUGUCGGAUGUGAAAGCCCUUGGCUUAACUGAGGAAGUGCAUCCGAAACUGGCAGGCUAGAGUACUAAAGAGGGUCGCGGAAUUCCCGGUGUAGAGGUGAAAUUCGUAGAUAUUCGGGAGGAACACCGGUGGCGAAGGCGG